rnacentral:tRNA from 1 species
GGUCAGUUGCCCGAGUGGUAAGGGUAUCCUCUGCAAAUGGAUUGUUCACAAGUUCGAAUCUUGUACUGACCU